CUAUGCAGAGAUGGCUGAAAUACUCGGUACCAGAUCCUGUCUUGAUCUUGGAAGCUAAGCAGGGGCAGCUCUGGUUAGUACUUUAAUGGGAUACUAGCAGUGAAAACCAGGUACUGUAGGCU
rnacentral:rRNA from 11 species